rnacentral:piRNA from 1 species
UAAAAGAGGAACCUCUGAACAGGUAUUCGGA